GUCUAUGGCCAUAUUACCCUGAACGCACCCCAUCUCAUCUGAUCUUGGAAGCUAAGCAGUGUCAGGCCUGAUUAGUACUUGGAUGGCAGACUGCCUAGGAAUACUGAGUGCUGUAGGCU
rnacentral:rRNA from 1 species